rnacentral:lncRNA from 1 species
GAAGAUCUUCUUAAAGUAUAGCCCAAAGAAUGGAUAUGAUCCAAAAGUUUUUACCAAGAUCACGCCCAGUCAAUUACAAAAUUGCCUGAGUCGGCUGCUCGAAAGUGGUGGUCAUGUUUAUAUUGCCACGAGCAUGCCAAACUCAAGCAUCACAGUAACAGUUUCUUCUUCUCCCGACACAGGCAAUACCCGUGGAAGAGUUUGUCGAAUUCAUUCGGAGGAAAC